ensembl:lncRNA
AUCAUUUCGUUAAAUAAUUAACUGAAAGUGAACUAAAUCACAUUUCACAUUAUAAAUGUAGUAGUAGAGGAGAGGGGGAGACAGAACGGAUAUUCUGUAGAACGGCGUUUCCAUGGAAAGGUUGUGACAUCACUGGAAACAGAACGCAAUUCUGUUCUACAAAAUUUAAAAAGAAGGCAGAGGCUCAUUGUUUCAUUGAACUCGAUUUUUACAAGCUGUUUAUCAGACCUGUUAAGGAGUAAGAUAUAAUGUUACCUUUUGGUAAAUGCAAGAGUUUUACAAGCUUUGCAGCUUCUGGAACUGAAGCCCUUGCUGCUGGAGAUUAUAAUGUCCAAAAGUGUGAAGUUGAGGAGCCCAUUAGGGAAGCCAUCGAAGGCACAGUUGUCCACAAAGACCCAGUGCAGAAUGUCUCUGAUGGAUACAUGGAUGCGGUCAUGGACACGGCCAAGCCUGAGGAUAUUCUGGAGCAUGAGAACUCUGACCUGAAGGACGAAGUAAAAAUACUGCACUGCUCAUUGGACAAGUUGGAGGAAGAACUCCGUGACACUAACCGCAUGCAUGUAAGGAAAUUAACGGAGCAGGAGCAAAAGCUACAGAAAUCCCAAGUCCUUUGGUACCAAUCCGAAGAGACUAAGGAUAUUCUGGAGCAGGAGAACUCCAACCUGAAGGAUGAAGUAAAAACACUGCGAGCGUCAGUGGAGAAGUUGGAGAGACAACUCUAUG